GUGAGGAAUAUUGCGCAAUGGAGGCAACUCUGACGCAGCCAUGCCGCGUGCAGGAAGAAGGCGCUACGCGUUGUAAACUGCUUUUAACCGGGAAGAAACCCCAGGACGUGUCCUGGGUUGACGGUACCGGAGGAAUAAGCACCGGCUAACUUCGUGCCAGCAGCCGCGGUAAUACGAAGGGUGCAAGCGUUAUCCGGAUUCAUUGGGUUGAAAGGGUGCGUAGGCGGAGCGUUAAGUCAGUGGUGAAAUCCUGCAGCUUAACUGUAGACUUGCCAUUGAUACUGGCGCUCUUGAGUGCGCUUGAAGUGGGCGUAAUGUGCCGUGUAGCGGGGAAAUGCUUAGAUAUGGCACAGAACACCAAUUGCGAAGGCAGCUCACUAAGGCGAUACUGACGCUGAGGCACGAAAGCGUGGGGAUCGAACAGGAUUAGAAACCCGAGUAGUCC
rnacentral:rRNA from 1 species